UACGUAGGGGGCUAGCGUUGUCCGGAUUUAUUGGGCGUAAAGAGCGUGUAGGCGGCCAGAUAGGUCUGCUGUGAAAACUCGAGGCUCAACCUCGAGAUGUCGGCGGAAACCAUUUGGCUAGAGUCCGGAAGAGGAAAGUGGAAUUUCUGGUGUAGCGGUGAAAUGCGCAGAUAUCAGGAAGAACACCCGUGGCGAAGGCGGGUCUCUGGGCAGUAACUGACGCUGAGGAGCGAAAGCCAGGGGAGCAAACGGG
rnacentral:rRNA from 1 species